rnacentral:lncRNA from 1 species
UUGCUGGUUCUAUCUUUUUCUGUUCUUUUUGUUCUUUUUUAUUUUUCUUUCUUUUCCUUUUCCUUUUCUUUCUUUUUUCUGUUUCUUUGUAAAUUCUUGGUAUUUUGGAGAUCAAAUCUAGAGCACAAGGAGAUUCAAUCAAAGGAUUUGGCAAGGUGUUGGAGAAAUCAGUAGCAAGCAAUUUCAUAUUCAAAAAUUCAACAAAAG